GGGACUGUAGCUCAGUUGGGAGAGCGAUUCGUUCGCAACGAAUAGGCCGAGGGUUCGAAUCCCUUCAGUUCCACAA
rnacentral:tRNA from 9 species